CAUAGAAGGUCCAUAGGAGAAUGGAUGUUGGACCGGGUCUAAGGGCCAUUUUUCCUUUCUUUCCCUUCAUGCCAACGUACUCAGUCGAACAAACACAAACGACGCUCAAGCUUCGAUUCCAAAUGCAGAGGUGAUGGCGAGGAUGGUGAAGCCUAGACGGUGCAGGGUGCGAAAGUGACGAGUUCGGCGAAAGCUUAUUCAAGAAUGGAUAAAUGCAUUGAGCUACUUGAACUCAAUUAUUUAUCUUCAACUACACGCGCAAACUCCAUCGUUUUCGGCGUUUCACAAGUGGUGUCAUGAUGCGUCGCAUCUCUUCUUUCAAAGCACGAACCAAGAUGCGGGAAAAGGAAGGCCAAGCCUUCUAAAAUAACAACAAUACAUCUCGUUUAUGCAGCAUCAAGAAGAAGCAGAAGCAAAGCUGGAACAAGCAAACUAACCGUGGCAGAACUUUUGGUUUGAUCAGUAUUAGUUAGCUUCAAACUUCAAUGGUGAAUGAUGAAUGGAGAUUGGAAUCCCUUAGGUGCAGAACAUCAGACAUUGCAAGUGAAAGAGAAAAUAUGUAGAAGGGGAGUUUUUUUGCAGAAUCUUGAGUGAACCGUGAUGAAGCUGGAUCUAGAAUAAAGAUUGAGAGAAAAAUGAUUCUGCCCCUAUGAAUGGUGAUGAGGUUGGGUUUUUAUAGAGCUUAAUUCGGUUAUAAAAUGUAGCUCAAAUGAAAUCCAAAUCCAAGGUUAGUUACAAAUGAAAUAGUUAGUUUGGAAAUUCAGAUUGAAACUCAAAUGAAAUGUUAUUUUGUGAACUGAAAAUACUGCUAUGCCCUUUUUGUGAAAAAACCAAUAGCUGGCUUUGUUAUACUGGUUCUGUUAUCAUUGUUUUGUUUUUAUCCAUUUAGAAUUCUGUUAUAGGUUAGUGCUGAGGAAUUCUGUUAUGAGUUAACUUGAACUAAAUGGUUAUUGGAUACGGUUAACGCAGUUAGCAUUGUGAACUGUUGAAUAGCUAAUUAAAUUCGGAUGAAGCUGGUUAAAUGAUUUUCUACUGGAUUACUGAAUGGCUGUUAGAUUUGUAUGUUAAGGUUAAAUUGAAAGGUGAAGUUUCUGUUGAAAGUAACAUGUGACCCCUUGCUUAUGAGCUUUGACAUCCUGUGAGUUCGUUCGUCCAACAUCUUAUGGAUCUGUGAGCUUCGAAACAAAUUGAUACACAUUAUGAAUUUAUUCGGAAUUCAUUUCUUUGCAGGUAUGGCAUAACCGAUUUGUACUGCAUCUUGAUAUUUAUGCCUACAAAAGCACACUCCUCCCGCCCUUCAAGUCGGUAUUUGCUUGCAAUCAAAUGGUUUGGUGGAUUCAUGUUGGCUGGAUGUUUGUGUUCUGCUGUCCUAGGUUCAGUUUGUGAAUGAAGCUUAGCUGUGAUGAUUUUUGACUUUGUAAUGCAGGUUUGGACAUCAUGGUGUUCAUUGCCAUUCUGACUUUGGUUCAACCUCUUUUUGCUUAGCUUGUUAUGAGUUCUUUUUGUGGCUUGUAGCAUGGUUUGCUUCCUUGUAGUAUGACUCACAUAAGUUCUGAUUUAGGUGAUUGUAAAAUGGCCUUGCUAUGUUUCUAUUCCCAUUCAUGUUUCAUGUUCAUGUAGGUCAUGAUUGGAUGGUUAAACAAACAUGACAUCAAAAUAGGGAUUUGAAGUAUCCAUCUACAAAUGGAAAUCCAAAGAAUCAAGAUGGAAUUUGAAGAUAAUGGUUAGAUUUAGGGUGGAGGCUUAGGAUGAAAAAGAUUUGGUUGACUUUGGUCAAAGUUGACCAAAAAGUAAACGGUUGACCAAAGUCAACCAUUGGUCAUCAUUUUUUUUUUGUAUUUUCUCAUGUAAUGAACAAAUUAUGAAUUGUAAUGAGUGGAAUUGAUAUGAAUGAAAUUGGAUUGACUUUGAAAUGAA